ACUAGGGGCUAACCACUCUUUUCACUUUGAGCUAGGAAUACUUGCAAGGUGUUGUUUUUUUUUCUCCUCCUAGACCUGUUCUUCCUCUCCCCUGCUCUCUCUCUCUCUCUCUCAUGUUCUUCCUCCCACUCCUCUCUCUCCUGUUUUGGUUUGAGCCUCAACGUGAUGGUGAGCAUCUCCUGUUUGCGUCAGCUCAUGGGAUGAAACUUCUGCCCCACCAUGAUGGUGGACAGAAAGGGGAAGGAGAACUCAAGGAAGAAGAACACAGGUCCAGAGUGCAACUUCUUACAAGAAUUCCUAGCCCAAAGUGAGAAGAGUGGGUAGCCCCUAUU
rnacentral:pre_miRNA from 1 species